GAGGGUAUAGCCCUGUGGUAGAGUGCAUACUUGGCAUGCACAAGGUCCUGGGUUCAAUCCCCAGUACCUCCA
rnacentral:tRNA from 1 species